rnacentral:lncRNA from 1 species
UUGGAGAUCGACACCGGCACAUGUUUUGUAGCCUAUUCUGACCUCAAGAAUCUUAUACUCAAGUGAACUCACUAACCUCCAGUGGUUCAGAAACAAGGACUGAGCCUGGAGACACAGGCUGCACGAACAAAAGGAAAAGUACCAGGGCACUUGAGCAGUGAACUCCAAGAGUGGCUGGUGGGACUAAAGGAAAGGAUGGAAGACAAAUGUCACUGCAAGAAGCUGUGCGACGCUGGAUUGGAGAAUGUAGGCUUUGCCAUUGAGUCCUAGAGAUUUCC